UACAGAGGGGGCAAGCGUUGUUCGGAAUUACUGGGCGUAAAGGGCGCGUAGGCGGCCCGCUAAGUCGAACGUGAAAUCCCCGAGCUCAACUCGGGAACUGCGUCCGAUACUGGCGGGCUUGAAUACGGGAGAGGGAUGCGGAAUUCCCGGUGUAGUGGUGAAAUGCGUAGAGAUCGGGAGGAACACCUGUGGCGAAGGCGGCUCGCUGGGCCGGUCCUGACGCUGAGACGCGAAGGCGUGGGGAGCGAACGGG
rnacentral:rRNA from 1 species